CCCUUAGAUGUUCUGGGCCGCACGCGCGCUACACUGAUGCAUUCAACGAGUUUCUUCCUGGUCCGAGAGGAAUGGGUAACCUUUUGAAAGUGCAUCGUGAUAGGGAUAGACUAUUGCAAUUAUUGGUCUUCAACGAGGAAUUCCUAGUAGACGUAGUUCAUCAGACUGCAUCGAUUACGUCCCUGCCCUUUGUACACACCGCCCGUCGCUCCUACCGAUUGAAUGCUCAGGUGAGCCAUUCGGACUUUCAUCAUGCUGGUUUCCAGUUUUGAUGAAGUAAAGUCUUGCGAACCUUAUCAUUUAGAGGAAGGAGAAGUCGUAACA
rnacentral:rRNA from 1 species